GGUAAGCGGCUUCGGUCAGAGGGUAUAAUCGAUUGAGUCCGGAAAGGUCCUUCGAAGGGACAUCCAAUGGUUCGUGCGGAUCGUGAGUCAAAGUGAAAUUUUUACUUUAAUGAGGGUAUAUUCCUUUGUAAGAAAGAAGAUUUCUUCGCGGAAUCUUUUUUGAUUACAUCUUGUUCCACCCUCAGAAGAAUUCAAAGCAGUCGAAAAGGGAAAAUGGAGAUCAAUCCUAACGUUAACAGUGUUCUUGGAUAUCGAACUAAUGUUAAUUUGGAUAGCAUUUAGUUAGAAAGUUAUAUAUACCGUAAUAAUAUUUAUUUCAAUGCCAUGAGUGAGAUUAGGAACGGCAAAGAAAAUAUUAAGGCGAUUAACAUUAUUCCAAAAAAGAUUUGCGAAUCCAUGUCGAAGAUGAAGAAGAAGAAAAAGGUGAUACAGGGGAUGAAGAAGUGGAAGAGAUAUACUAAAGGAAACGAAGGCGGAGGCAGGAAAAGUUCCAAUAGCCUGCAAGUAUUACAAAGGCCCGAGUUGACUGAUAUUUGAAUUAUAAUUCCAAAGAAGAUAUAUGAAAUUUCACUAUCUCGUGUUAAUGAAGUAUUCUAUAUCCGAAGUGAAACAUAUUUACUUUGGCCUGUUCUUCCUUAUAUCCGGCGAUAAAUCCUACAUGGAUAGUACAAAUGCAAUCAACCAGAUUAUGAUAUGAAAAGUUCCUUUUUCUUCUUAUAUUUAAGUGGAAGAUCAGUGAAUGGUUUGUUUAUCGAAUUUUAGAGAUACGAUUUUAUGAUAGCGACGAUAAUAUUUCUAUUAAUGAGUUGGACAUUAAGUCACUUAACUCUAGCUGUCAUAUAUGUAUUAUAUUAAUGUGUAUAAUUCAAGAACCCAUAUAUUUUUCACCUUUGUAAAGAAGAAUAUUUGAUAUGGGAAGCAAGAUGUUCGAUGAAAGAGAGGAGAUCGUAAAAGGGGCGGAGGUAGCUGACUCUGCUCACGAAUUUAUUAAAAAACUUGUAAAUGAUAUGGAACCCAAGUUGAUGAGAGAGGCACCAAAUUAUCCGACGUAUAGAAGUAAACAUGUUGCUACUGGUAGAGCAUUACUCUAGCAACCAUCGACAUCAAUAUUGAAUUUUAAUAAACGAGAGCGCAUUGGAUCGUGAAAUUAGAAGAGCGGUUCAAGAUGCAGAUAGAAUUUUAACCAAGGAAGGAACAUCGUUAGCGAUAGUUCAUAUAUGCAUUAUGUGAUUGGGAAUACCUAGGAAGAAGAAAAAGAAGAAAAAACAUUUGUGCUUGACGACGAAGUUUGGAAAGACCAUUAGGGCGUUAGUUUAUAAAGCGUCGGAAGGUAGUACGAGGAAAUGGGAGGGAUUUACUUCUCCCAAAGGAUCCAAACGUAAGCGGCUUUAGUUGGAGGGUAUACGUGAUUGUACGUAGAAUGAUUUUUUAAGGGAUCGUACGAUGUUCCAUGCGGGUCAUGGAUCGAAGGGGAAUGGAAAUGAAACUGAGGGAGGUUUAUCAUACAAAAUAAUUCAACAUACAGGGACGAAUAAAAGAUUCAACAUUUUUGGAAAUAAUAACGAUAGCAGGAGUAUACUUUUAAAUUAUACGUGAAAUAAAAAGUCCACGUUCGCAUCAUCGUUAUUCCAUCGAUUUAAA